UGGGGAAUCUUGCGCAAUGGGCGAAAGCCUGACGCAGCCAUGCCGCGUGAGUGACGAAGGCCUUAGGGUUGUAAAGCUCUUUUGGCGGGGAAGAUAAUGACGGUACCCGCAGAAUAAGCUCCGGCUAACUUCGUGCCAGCAGCCGCGGUAAUACGAAGGGAGCUAGCGUUGUUCGGAAUCACUGGGCGUAAAGCGCACGUAGGUGGGCAGUUAAGUCAGGGGUGAAAGCCCGAGGCUCAACCUCGGAAUUGCCUCUGAUACUGGCUGUCUAGAGUUCGAGAGAGGUGAGUGGAAUUCCUAGUGUAGAGGUGAAAUUCGUAGAUAUUAGGAAGAACACCAGUGGCGAAGGCGGCCAACUGGCUCGAUACUGACGCUGAGGUGCGAAAGCGUGGGGAGCAAACAGGAUUAGAUACCCACGUAGUCCCUGAGCGGGCUGGCAAGGCGCAU
rnacentral:rRNA from 1 species